GGACAUUUCAGCUACUCUAAAUUAGGUCAAUUAUAGCGUAUAACUGUGAGAUCAUAUUUCUAUGGGUGUAAGAGUUACCUUGUUCCCUGGAGGAGGAGUGCAAGCGGAUGAAGAGUAAUGGAACGCGGGGCUGGCCAAUCGGAGCAGGGAGAAGGCGGGGUUUGGGUAAAAAGGGGUGCUCCCAUUGGUCAAAGCGGACGCUACUGUCAAACGAGGACUUUCUCCUCUCUGCUGGCGAGUUUUGUGAAUGACGUCAACAAGUUGACCCCUUAAAAAACCACAACAAACAAGGCCUUCACGCACUGGUGGCAUAACACAUUAGACAUAUCUAUUCCAAAGAGAAAAAGCUUGCAUGUCUUUUGAUCUAGAAACAGAAUAUAUACAUAUUUCCCCGAGAUAAGCUGCACACAAAAAAAAAAUCUGCUAAAAUAUGGAGAUGAUUGUUCAAUACAGGUAUAUGAUUUUAUUCCAUGUACUCUCAUCUGCUAAUGAGUUAAUUCUAUCAGGACAGUGCAACGUGGAUUGAAAAGCAACAGCUAAUCAUUCCUAAGAGGCUCUGUGCAGGUAUCGACCGCAUGCCUUUUGUUUGGGCUAUCGUAUUUCUCAAUCGGCCUCUCACUUUGGACCAUCAUAACACUGUCAAUAAUUAUCUUCACAAGAGGGUGCAAAAUGUUCCAUGCAGAACCACUGACAUUAAAAUAAUAGCAAAUGAGGUCUUUGUGUUCAUCACAGACAGAGAUUUUCUUAAAUGAAAACAAAUAUCAAGUGAUGAUGAUUAAGUGUUUUGAAAACUGUUUAAGGACCCCUAAUUGAAUCAAUUUACACUUCCAUUUUUUUAAAAUAUUAUUUUCAAAGCCAUCACACCUCAGUCAUAUACAUAUAUAUUUUAUUCUCAAUACGACAAAAAUACAAAGAAUAUUCAGAACAGACUCUCAUUAGUCACACAAUUAAUACUCACUUCACAAGAAUGCUCUUUAAAUUACAUGACCUAAAAGUUUGAAGCUCAAACGCCACAAGUACCUUUCAAUCGUAUUGCAUCCAUUGCAUAAUAGCAUCUAUUUCAUCUUUAAAACUAAGCCAAUUUAGACUAUGGUACAUAGUGUAGGCUGCUUGUUGAGGCUUGUCAAAGUAUACAAGACUGUAUAUAAACUGCUACAGUUUUUGAGAAACCUUUUUUUUCUUAAAAGACUCAUGUGACCAAUUGUUCAUAUAAAGGGUAGGAAAUACUUUCAGAUUGACGGAAGACUGUACAUCGAAUCCCCGUUAGGAUGGACAAUGACAGGACAAAAAUCCAGGGGAGACAAAAUGAUGACAUGGUGGUGAAGACACAAGCACGUAAAAGACUAGAGCAGAGGUGGGGAAUCUGCGUGCCGCCGUGCAAUUUUAAAAAUGCUCUUAGUAUAUAAUAAACAUUUGUUUGUUACCAUUCUCCCCCCAAAUUUAGUGAAAUGAGCUUGAUACAAAAAGUGUCCCCACCCCUGGACUGUUAAGAGACUUGGGUGCCAUCUGUACAGUUCCAAAGAACAAGUAAGGGAACGAGAGAAAAGGGGAAAAUGUGCAUAAAAGGAUCUCACAAAUAUAUUUACAACGAUACGUUCGAUAAAAAUUCUUCCUGUAGUAGAAAUGCAACCUUAGAGAAAAAUCCUAUGUACACUUUGUACAUUUAAAUAGAAACAUGCAAAUGUUAACAUCUUCCUAUCGAGAAAAAAAACAUACCCUGGAUUCAUUAAUAUUAAUUACUACUUACAAUGAAAUCUCAUCAUUAACAACCACAUCCCCUGAUACAUUUACAUCUUGUUGCAUCACAUGUUAGAAGCGAAAAAAAAAGGGGAUCAGAAAAAAUAAAUUAAAAAAAGGUUACAAACGACCCUUCAGCGUACACAUUUGUUCUUACAAAUUGUACCAGUGUAUGAACACAUUGGCUGGCCUGGCAAUCUAAAAAAAAAAAAAAAAAGAUAACUCACAGAGGAUUUUCCUACGAGAAAAAAGUGGCCUCCAGCUUUAGGUACAGAUUGGCACAAACCAUCUGUUUUUUGUUUGUUUUUCUUUUGUUAUAAAAUAUAUACACAAAU